GUGAAUGUAGCUCAGUUGGUUAGAGCGCUGGAUUGUGGUUCCAGAGGUCGCCGGUUCGAAACCGGUCUUUCACC
rnacentral:tRNA from 1 species